UUGGCACGAAUAGAAGCCUGUUUGAAUCAUAUACGUUUUUAAACAUGAUGGAAUUUUAGCACGAAGACGAUUUCCCAAAUAUCAUAUGAUUCUUGUUUGCUUGCUGAAUAGAAACUGUAAUAGUAGUAAUAGUAAUAGUAUUACUAGUAUAAUAGUAAAAUUAGCAGCAAAUUUACCAGAGGAUUCGGUGAAGCCAACACUGGAGAGGAGUAGAGUUACUUGCAGGAUUAUAAUUAAGGCACCCAUUGUCUAUUCUGAAACAAAUUAAGCACAAAAAAUACUUUUGAGGGUUGCACUGGGCAUCAGGUCAAACAGGUAUCAGAGUCAUCCUAAAAUUCACUGCUGUCUGUAAAUCACAACUGAACCCAGUCUAUAUCUGAGCACUUAAGGAUUUACAAGCAUCAUGAACCGCAGCUCGUCUCUCAGCCUUCCCUGUCUCGAGUGCUGUGUUAUGACAGGAUUGCUUUCAGUUGUAGUCAGAACGAGUUGAAGCAGUUCUAUGGAAAUCUAGAGGCACAGUUUCCGCCUUGCUCUUCACGCACACCCAACAGGAGAACAGAGAAGAAUAAAAAGUAAUUUCCAGCGUGGAUCUCAAAAUGUGAAGGAUCUGGAGAGAUUCUGUACGGAGGAACGCUCUCAGAUCCCUCGCCAUGUGUUCUCCAACCUCAUCAGGCGUUAUAGGAGAAGACUCAGAGCUGCUAUCUUAGCAAAAGGAUCUUAGCAUAAAGUAUUGACUAAAAGGGUACCAAUAAUUGUUGCACACCUAUAUUUAACACAGAUUUAUUUUUUGGGUAAACCUGUGUUUUAUAUGCAAUUGUUUGAUAUCCAUGAGAGCAGAGUGAUUUUUAAAAAAUAAAUAAAUAAAUAUCAAAA
ensembl:lncRNA